AAUACAUGUGCCGCAGGCCCGCAGCGACAAAAGAUCCUCCGCCUCUCGCUAGUUAGAUCGGCGCUGCUGCCGGGCUACCCGCGCCGGCCAAGCAGCCGCCUCUCCAUCUCCUCUCCGACUCGAAGGUAACAACCGCAGCAGCAAGCCUGAAGAACUUCUUUUGCCUGGUGACGAAGAGAUGGCCGGCACCCUACGGUACUGCCUGGAUCUGUUCAAGGGCGGACGCCAGUUGUGGGGGAGAUGGUAGCAGAGCAAGAAAGAAGGAGGAGGGAGAGGCUGGGCGCGACCGUGGCAGAGAUGGACCGUGGCUGAGGAGAGCGGGAAGGGGAGAGGAAGCCUGCGUGCGAGGUAUCGGCUGGCCCAGUCAUCACCAAGGUGGGGAUGCUACUGGACGGGGUCGGUGUUGGGCUGCACCCAUCAGUGUAGAAGAAGAGGAGACAGGAGCUGGGCGGCAGAGGAAGAGACGGAGAUCAGCUAGCCAGCUACCAGACUGGAGAAAUUGGAUCAUGGGGAAAUUGGAUCAUGGGAGAGGCCUCAGGAUAUACGCGCAUAUCCCCUGUGUGUACUAUGUACUUUCUGGUAGUUGCACAGUUCAUCUCUAUGUGUGACUUAGAUUAAGAAAAAUUAUCAUACUUCUUUCGUUGAUGAAAGAAUAUCGGAGGUUUGCCUAAAUUCAUACGUACGACUAAAUUUAUGCAAACUUGCGACAAUAAUUUAUGGAUGGUGGUAGUAUAAUAUUUAUAAUAAUAUAGUCGAAAA